GAAAAGAGAGGAAUCUGAUUGUUGUUGUGGUAUUGAAUUGUUUAGCUGCACGUUUCUUAUUAUGGCUGAGCAUCCUCAUUUUCUUGAAUAAAUGUGCUUCUAGGCCUGACAAUACUUCAAUUUUACUUUUUGGAGCAGUUUCCAGCUCUGUGGCCUUUUUCACCAUAAUACAAGCAUAGUCCUUUCUCUAUACGCCGCUU
rnacentral:lncRNA from 1 species